CAUUAAGUUAAAUGUAAGUUAUGAGGAAAUGCUUAUGUUAUUUUUUUAACAAUAAUUUGUCACAUAUUUUGGAUAACUAUUUAAUUCCAAAUCGGACAUGUAAUCUGUGACCCAAAUUGGCAGAUCCACAUUUUUUCAGAACACAGGCAUGUUUACUAAUAUUAUUUGUAUACCAGAGAUAAACUACGUUAAUCAAACGACAAAAGACAUUUAUAGAUUCUAUAUGGUAAAUGAUUGGGAAAUUCACACGGUACACACAACAAUACCAAACUUUUUUGAACCAUCAAAAUUGUAUAAACUAAACAGAGGCUACUGAUAAAUUAAAGUGUUCAUCGUAUUAGCCGUACAUUAAUAUAUAUAUUUCAAUCAAAACCAUUUUAAAUGAAGUCAAAACCAUUGAAAAGAAAUUUCACGACUAUUUAUGAAGAGAGCGUUAUCUCAUACAUCCUACUGACGAACUUGCUUUAUUGAAAGUCAAAAAACAAGUAUUUAUUUUAACUAAGUGAUGUAAAGCCGUAAGUGUGUCUGAAAUAAAACUCUUCUGUGAAAUUUCAUUGGACAUUCUUGUAAAAAAUUUGUUAGUUGAUUUAUCUUUUUACAAAACAGUGAGUCCAAAAUAUUUGUAUACACUAUAUUAUUAACACGAUUCGCGACUGCAUCCAGUUUUAGAUAUUAUCUAAAAUAAAAUGUAUUGAAUGCAUAGGACAAUAUUUUGUUGUCACAUUUUAUUUAAAACAAUAUAAUUUCAUACUUAUUGUUUUGAGCCUUGUAAGUAGUAAGUAAACAUAUUCCUUUUUCUCAGCUAAUUUCAAACUAUAAAUACUAAUAUCUGAUAAAGUAAUUUUAACAAAACUGGACAUUGACAAAAAAAUAUUUAUCAGGUUACACUGUAAAAUUAAUAAAAAUGUCAUGUUUAAUGAAUAAUGGAAUAAUAUGUAGUUGUAAAAUCUUAAAUUAGUAGGAUGUUGAGAAUUUUGCUUUUGUUUGUAGAAAGUGUUACGUACGAUAUUAUUAUUCAAUCCAUUUCAUGAAUCAUUUCUUGUAAGUUUUUUUAUUUUUUUCAUUAAUAACACAUUUUCCAUGUCCUAGAAAUUGAUUCAAGGCUAUUGUAAAGUAUUUAAAGAUUGAGUAAUAUUGUUGAUCUUAUAAACACGGCUAAAGUAAACAUUUUCUAAGAAUAACGAAGAAUUAUUUCGUGAUUUUCAUUGUUUUAUUUUUUUUUAAAUAUAGAAAGCGACUAAAAAAAAAUAAAUGUUAUCAAAAUAUGACAUAGUUUAACACAGUUUUAAAAUAAUUAAAUCAAAUGGAAUUGAUGAAAUUUAUAAAUGCACAAAUCUUAUAUGAUCUUAUAUAUCUUAUAUGAUGAAGCAAAUAUCGUAAAAACAGUAAUAUAAUUAGUAAUACAAGAUUACUGUUCAAGUUGUCUCGUUGAAAAAAUGUCCCAUUUAAAGUGAACAAGACGAAUAAAAUGAGUGGACCAAGAGUACAAAUUUAAUAAAACUUAAAUCUUUUUCAGCUGUAGAUUUUCGUUAAAUAAGAUUCCAAUGUUAUUGGUUUAAAGGAUAAUGUUUAUAUUUUAUAAAGCUAAGCGCUCUUAUUAUAAGUUUACCAGAGCGAUUGUAUGAAAUUUUGGUGCUUUCUUAAACGUCUAACACUUUUGAAACCUACUCGAGUAGUCGGAAAAUAGCUAUUUGUUCGGACGAUUACAAAACCAUUCCACGUGCGACACGUCUUUGUUUGAUGAUAACAUCGCUCAUAUAGUUUUGUGUGCGUUUUGCUUCACUGAUAGAAAACGCAGUUAUCAUCUUCUGUAACGCUAGCCGUAUACAAUAUAUGAUACAAAAUACUCAAAUCACGAACAAGUUUCAAUUCAAAAACGGGGAAAAAAAUCAAAAGUUAAAAAAGUAAAUGUUGGAUACGUUUUUUGGUCAGAAACUUAUUGUCAACGAUUCGUUUGAAUGCGUGAAAUGGAUACUCCGGGCAAAUAAAUCUAAUAUUGGAACAAAUAAAAUCGUGACGGGUGACACGUGCAAUCAUUUGUCAUAGUAUCCGUCUAUAAAGUAAACGUGAGAAUCUAAAUUCACUAUAAUAAUAUUAUAGAAUCGGAGAAUUCGUGUGAAAAGAAUAUCGACGUGCGUAAUGCGUGACAAGUAUCAGAAAGUUGACGACUUAUUGAAAAUUUAAAAAGCCAAUACAAAAAAUAAGGUUGUGUCCGGAAAAUUAAUUAAACUGUAUACGCACGAGUGAAACUUUGUUAAAGCUUAGAACUAAACCUCUGUUUUCUAGAAUUGUUUACUCUGUAUUUUGUUCAAUGUGGCAUAUUAUACCCAGCAUUUCAAAACGGCUGAAAUGUGCGACUUAAUAUUUUUUAUGUGUUUCUAAAAACUCACUAAUACAAUAAAUACUAACACUGUAAAGGUCUAUUUAAAUAACGCAUCUUAAAAGUAAAUACUUGUUUUGCACUACCUCUAAAAUAAUCAACCUCAUAAGUUUCACAGAAAUUUAAUGAUUGUUUGAUAUUAAAAUUAUAUCAACAAUCAUACAAAUAUUAAUUUCUAUGGUUUACUUGAUAACUUACCACUUGAUUUACCUGCUAAAUUAUUUUAAAUAAUAAAUUUGUUUAUAUUCAUAAUUUUAUUUAAU